GCCUAAGAGCUGUAACACGGUUUGUCCAAGACCCGAGAGCUGUGAUGCACCGAGGGCUUUAAUGUCCGUUGCUCCAAAUCUUUGUUGUGACAAGACAAAGAACCAAGGAACAUACACUCGCGUGACACAAUGUCAGACUCAAAGAAUUGAGGAUUUGAACUUUUUCCAGAAGAUUGCAAAUUCAGUAAGGUUUGCAAAUUUCCUGUAAAUUUUACAGUCAGCUCUAAAAGUGGGUACAAGUUGGUUUCUCCAACAGACCACUGGCAACGUCCUGCACUAUGUAAGUUGGAAGUGUCCAGCAUAAUGAUGUGUAUGACACAGCUGGUAAGCCCUGCUGGUGCAGCAUCCCAACACCUCUGUGCCAUCCAGAGAGCCAUGGUCAUGCCCUCUCCAACAAGAUCUGGAUCUCAGCCUUGGUGGCCAUGGGGGUUCUUCCUUCAGUGCUCUAAUUCAAUCCUAGGGGUGAGGGCUAUUAGAUAUUAUAAAAUAGACAUGCUGUUAUACAUUAAAUCUACUGUUUCCAUA